rnacentral:misc_RNA from 1 species
GAUAAAGAACGUAGCGAAAUGCGAUAACUAAUGUGAAUUGCAGAAUUCCGUGAAUCAUCGAGUCUUUGAACGCACAUUGCGCCCCCUGGUAUUCCGGGGGGCAUGCCUGUCCGAGCGUCAUUGCUGCCCAUCAAGCACGGCUUGUGUGUUGGGUCCUCGUCCCCCCCGGGGGACGUGCCCGAAAGGCAGCGGCGGCACCGCGUCCGGUCCUCGAGCGUAUGGGGCUUUGUCACCCGCUCUGCAGGCCCGGCCGGCGCUGGCCGACGCGAAAGCAACCAUUUUUUCUCCAGGUUGACCUCGGAUCAGGUAGGGAUACCCGCUGAACUUAAGCAUAUCAAUAAGCGGAGGA